rnacentral:rRNA from 1 species
AGUCGAGCGAUGAACACCUUCGGGUGUGAAUUAGCGGCGAACGGGUGAGGAACACGUGAAGAAUCUGCCUUCAACCCUGGGAUAACUCCGGGAAACCGGGGCUAAUACCGGAUAUGAGCCUCGAUCGCAUGAUUGGGGCUGGAAAGUUUUUCGGUUGAAGAUGAUUUCGCGGCCUAUCAGCUUGUUGGUGAGGUAAUGGCUCACCAAGGCGACGACGGGUAGCCGGCCUGAGAGGGCGACCGGCCACACUGGGACUGAGACACGGCCCAGACUCCUACGGGAGGCAGCAGUGGGGAAUAUUGGGCAAUGGAGGAAACUCUGACCCAGCGACGCCGCGUGAGGGAUGAAGGCCUUCGGGUUGUAAACCUCUUUCAGUAGGGAAGAAGCGAAAGUGACGGUACCUACAGAAGAAGCACCGGCUAACUAUGUGCCAGCAGCCGCGGUAAUACAUAGGGUGCAAGCGUUGUCCGGAAUUAUUGGGCGUAAAGAGCUCGUAGGUGGUUCGAUACGUCGGAUGUGAAAAUCAGGGGCUCAACCCCUGACCUGCAUCCGAUACGGUCGAGCUAGAGUUUGGUAGGGGAGACUGGAAUUCCUGGUGUAGCGGUGGAAUGCGCAGAUAUCAGGAGGAACACCGAUGGCGAAGGCAGGUCUCUGGGCCAAUACUGACACUGAGGAGCGAAAGCGUGGGGAGCGAACAGGAUUAGAUACCCUGGUAGUCCACGCCGUAAACGGUGGGCGCUAGUUGUGCGAACCUUCCACGGUUUGUGCGACGCAGCUAACGCAUUAAGCGCCCCGCCUGGGGAGUACGAUCGCAAGAUUAAAACUCAAAGGAAUUGACGGGGCCCCGCACAAGCAGCGGAGCAUGCGGCUUAAUUCGACGCAACGCGAAGAA